AAACAUCUCCCCCAGAUUGUCUUAUAUAUGAUUGGGGGUAGGCCCUGCCCGGUGAUUAAAUUUUAACGGCGGUGUUAAGCCUUAAAGUAGCGUAGUCAUUCGUCCUUUAAUUGAGGUCUGGUAUGAAUGGGUUGACGUGGAGUGGCUGUCUCGGAAAGAAAGCUGUAAAUUUUCUUUUUAGUGAAAAGUCUAAAAUUUUUUUAAAAGACGAGAAGACCCCGUCGAGCUUGAUUAGCCCCUCUAAUAUUAGGGGGCGUAAAGGUUUGUUGGGGCAAUAGAGGAGAAAGAAAACCUCCUUUCAUUUAGGCAAGGAUCCCCUUAUAGGGAAAAUAGGAAAAAGCUACCGCGGGGAUAACAGCGCAAGGCUGCCUGAUAGGUCAUAUUGAAGGCUGAAUUUGCGACCUCGAUGUUGGAUUAGGGUAUACAACUGGGCGUAGAGGCUUAGUGACGUGGGACUGUUC
rnacentral:rRNA from 1 species